rnacentral:tRNA from 1 species
CGGCCUGUGAUUCAAAGGCAGAACACGCGGCCGAUAACCGCGAGACGGAGAUUCAACGCCUCCCGGGCCGA